UACGUAGGUGGCAAGCGUUGUCCGGAUUUAUUGGGUUUAAAGGGUGCGUAGGCGGCCCUGUAAGUCAGUGGUGAAAUACUCCAGCUUAACUGGAGGGGUGCCAUUGAUACUGCAGGGCUUGAGUGGAGUCGAAGUAGGCGGAAUUGACGGUGUAGCGGUGAAAUGCUUAGAUAUCGUCAAGAACACCGAUAGUGAAGACAGCUCACUAGGCUUCUACUGACGCUGAGGCACGAAAGUGUGGGGAUCAAACAGG
rnacentral:rRNA from 1 species